rnacentral:rRNA from 1 species
GACGAACGCUGGCGGCGUGCCUAAUACAUGCAAGUCGAGCGAAGAAGCGAGGUGCUUGCUCCUCUUUCAAGAGCAGCGAACGGGUGAGUAACGCGUGGGUAACCUGCCUUUAAGCGGGGGACAACUUCUGGAAACGAAUGCUAAUACCGCAUAACAUCUUUAAACAUAAGGUUUAAUAUUGAAAGACGCUAUUGCAUUACCCAAUGGAGAUCCCCCGUGGUAUUAGCUAGUGGGUAAGGUAAAGGCCCACCAAGGCAAGGAAUCGUAGCCGACCGGAGAGGUGGAGCGGCAACACGGGACCGGGGACAGGCCCAAGACCCCUACGGGAGGCACCAGAAGGGAAUCUCGGGAAAGGGGCGAAAGCUGGACGGAGCAAGGCCGGGUGAGGGAUGAAGUUCUCGGGUUCGUAAAACUCUUUGAUUGGGGAAAAACAAAUGUGGAAGGAAAUGUGCAUGUAGUGACGGUAACUAAUCAGAAAGCGACGGCUAACUACGUG